rnacentral:rRNA from 1 species
UACAGAGGGUGCGAGCGUUGUCCGGAAUCACUGGGCGUAAAGGGCGCGUAGGCGGCCAGCACAAGUCAGUUGUGAAAUCUCCGAGCUUAACUCGGAAAGGUCAACUGAUACUGUGCGACUAGAGUGCAGAAGGGGCAACUGGAAUUCUCGGUGUAGCGGUGAAAUGCGUAGAUAUCGAGAGGAACACCUGCGGCGAAGGCGGGUUGCUGGGCUGACACUGACGCUGAGGCGCGAAAGCAUGGGGAGCGAACAGG